rnacentral:rRNA from 1 species
UACGUAGGUGGCAAGCGUUGUCCGGAUUUACUGGGUGUAAAGGGCGUGCAGCCGGAGAGACAAGUCAGAUGUGAAAUCCACGGGCUCAACCCGUGAACUGCAUUUGAAACUGUUUCCCUUGAGUGUCGGAGAGGUAAUCGGAAUUCCUUGUGUGGCGGUGAAAUGCGUAGAUAUAAGGAAGAACACCAGUGGCGAAGGCGGAUUACUGGACGAUAACAGACGGUGAGGCGCGAAAGCGUGGGGAGCAAACAGG